rnacentral:rRNA from 1 species
CACGUAGGGCGCAAGCGUUGUCCGGAAUUAUUGGGCGUAAAGAGCGCGCAGGCGGUCUGACAAGUCAGAUGUGAAAGAGGCCGGCUUAACCGGCAAGGGUCAUUUGAAACUGUCAGACUAGAGUGCAGCAGAGGAUAGUGGAAUUCCCGGUGUAGUGGUGAAAUGCGUAGAUAUCGGGAGGAACACCAGUGGCGAAGGCGACUAUCUGGGCUGCAACUGACGCUGAGGCGCGAAGGCUAGGGUAGCAAACAGG